AGAGGUUUGAAUGGUGGCACAGAGGAAACAGAAUACACUGGAUUCCUGACAUGAGGGGGCAAACAACUCAAAAAUUACUGCCCUACAUUUUUCAUAUCGCUACGUUUCUUCACGACUGAAAAUAUGAGAACACACGGGUGAAAUCCCUUGCAAAAUGCCCCAUAACUAAGCUUUGCUAUGGAAAUCCAUCUCUGAGAACGAGGAACUCUUUAUCACCUGAGAUAGUAAGAGAGGCAUAUCCAAACUGUAUGAUAAGUAUCCUGUCUGGAUGUGACUCCAUUCAUGAAAGAACUUCUGUCUCAGCCUACUGGAUGGAUUCACCACGAGUAGGAUGUAUUUCGAAUAAAGGUCUGUGGGAAGUGGCCUCCCAGUUGAAGUAUCAGUUUCCUUUCGGACACGCAUUUUGGACUCCUCUUCUGCCAGAAAGUGGCCUGGAAAUAAGCUGCUAUCCCAAAAACAAACGGCUGUAAUGACGUGAAUGGCCGCGGAUCCUCUGGAAUUGAAACAUUCUCCCAAACACUGUUCCUGGUUGACUUGUGGAUGUACUCGGAAGAAAGGUCUGUGGGAAGAGGCCUCCCAGUGGAAAUUUCCGUUUCCAUUUGG